GAUAUAUUGGAAAUUAAGUCAUCAACAGUACCUUAAGCACCACUCUGUAGGUAAUUUUGGAUAGUGUCUUUUCUUUACAUUUUGAUAUAGGGAAGGAAUUAAUUCACAUCGACACAAACGAAGUAAUGGAUACCAUAUAACUUGUGUGAUACUGUAGCUUUUAUAAUGAAUUACUUCUUGAAAGUUUUUUUUCCUAUACAAUGUAUUAUUAAACAAUUGUAACGAUAGUCUCUUUUUGUUUAACUAUAGAAAAUGGUAGAUAGUGUGGUACAGCAAACAAGAUUAACAAAUUUUCGUUGGAGAGAAAUUAUUUGGGCUCAGGCUUGCAAUAACAUUAUGAUGAUUUUAAGAAAAAUUGCAGUUCCUGUGAGUUAUAUAUUGAUAAGGCAGAUUUUUAAACACUUAGUUGCUAAAAUUAGUUUUCCUAAAGUCGUAUUUGGGAAAGUCUGAGUAGAGAACCAGUAAGUCACUCUAAUCAUCCCAACAGAGAGCAAAUAUUUUAGUCUUAAAUUACCUCAAAAAAUCUGUAUGUCGUUUAUAAUAUGUAAAUGCACAAUAUGUAAAGGAUAACAUAAGUUCUCGAAAUUGUCAUAAGUCCUUCCUAAAAACUGAACCUAAGUGUUUAGGUAUCUGUACUGUUACAGAGAUCCUUGAAAAUAUGAAAUAAAGAUAAUCGAAAUUAAGAUGAAA
rnacentral:lncRNA from 1 species